CCUACGGGAGGCAGCAGUAGGGAAUAUUGCUCAAUGGGGGCAACCCUGAAGCAGCAACGCCGCGUGGAGGAUGAAGGUUUUCGGAUUGUAAACUCCUUUUGUCAGAGAAGAUAAUGACGGUAUCUCACGAAUAAGCACCAGCUAACUCCGCGCCAGAAGCCGCGGUAAUACGGAGGGUUCACGCGUUUCUCGGAAUUACAGGGCGUAAAGAGCGCGUAGGCGGGAUAACAAGUCAGAUGUGAAAUCCUAUGGCUUAACACUAGAACUGCAUUUGAAACUGUUAUUCUAGAGUAUGGGAGAGGUAGGUGGAAUUCUUGGUGUAGGGGUGAAAUCCGUAGAGAUCAAGAGGAAUACUCAUUGCGAAGGCGACCUGCUAGAACAUAACUGACGCUGAUGCGCGAAAGCGUGGGGAGCAAACAGGAUUAGAUACCCGAGUAGUC
rnacentral:rRNA from 1 species